GAAUGUAACACCCCGAAACCUUUGUGCUUAAUUUUCGGGAGAGGUGACUUGGGAACUGGAGAGUGAAAUGCGAGAGAAGCUUCCUCAUCAAUUUGUAACAAAUUUGGAGGACCAAAUUUUUUAAAGGUGAGGGGAAUGUAACACCCCAAAAACUUUAUGCUUAAUUAUUGUAUAAAACCUUUAUUUAUUUAGGCCAUAAAGCCAUUAAAUCUUUAAAUUUAUGU
rnacentral:lncRNA from 1 species